rnacentral:rRNA from 1 species
AUUGAACGCUGGCGGCAGGCCUAACACAUGCAAGUCGAGCGAGCGGCGGACGGGUGAGUAAUGUAUGGGGACUGCCCGAUAGAGGGGGAUAACUACUGGAAACGAUGGCUACUACCGCAUACUAUCGGAUAACCCAUAUUGGAUUAGCUAGUAGGGGGGGUACAGUCACACCUAUGCGACGAUCUCUAGCUGUUCUGAGAGGAUGAUCAGCCACACUGGGACAGAGACACGGCCCAGACUCCUACGGGGGCCGCAGUGGGGAAUAUUGCACAAUGUGCGCAAGCCUGAUGCAGCCAUGCCGCGUGUAUGAAGAAGGCCUUAGGGUUGUAAAGUACUUUCAGCGGGGAGGCGUUACCCGCAGAAGAAGCACCGGCUAACUCCGUGCCAGCAGCCGCGGUAAUAC